CCUGUCUUCCCGCCUGUCCUUCCCACCAGGGACACCGCGCGGCGCUGCAGCGAGCUCAGAGCCUGCGCUCUCCUGCGUCCAACCUGAUGAUCUGGCAUGUGGUCCAGGAAUUCUGCUAGUGGACUCAGCAUCUCCCACAGCUCUGGAGUUCAGCAUCUCUCUGCAUUGUGGAGGCUUUCGUUCUAGAGGCUGGGUGGAGGUAAGAUAAUGCGGGACAGAAUUGUUCCCAUUUUCAGGGACGAUGAUGGGGGUAGG
rnacentral:lncRNA from 1 species